rnacentral:rRNA from 1 species
GGUGAAAGCAAAAAGGGCACAAGGUGGAUGCCUAAGCACCAAAUGGCGAAGAAGGACGUGGCGAACUGCGAAAAGCCUCGGUGAGCUGUAAGCGAGCUUAGACCCGGGGAUAUCCGAAUGGGGCAACCUGGCAGGUGGAAGACCUGUCAUUCCGUAAGGAAGGCGAACGGCGUGAACUGAAACAUCUUAGUAGCGCCAGGAAGAGAAAAUAAGAAUGAUUCCCUCAGUAGUGGCGAACGAACGGGGAAGAUGCCUAAACCGGUCUUAAGGCCGGGGUAGAGGGACAGCGUUAUCUGGAUAUUACUUAUAGACGAACCGAUCUGGAAAGGUCGACCGGAGGGGGUGACAGUCCCGUAGUUGAAAUAGGUAAUAUUUGGUAGCUGGAUCCCGAGUAGCCCGGGGCACGAGAAAUCCUGGGUGAAUCUGCGAGGACCAUCUCGUAAGGCAAAAUACAUUUGGUGACUGAUAGCGUAGCAGUACCGUGAGGGAAAGGUGAAAAGCACCCCGGGAGGGGAGUGAAAUAGAACCUGAAACCUUGUGCUUACAAGCGGUCAGAGCAGGCGUCAACUAUUGGAAGUUGGGAGGUUGAGAGUUUACUUUUCAGCUGUUAACUUUCAAUAGUUGACGCCUGUGAUGGCGUGCCUUUUGCAUAAUGAGCCAACGAGUUAAUGUCAUAAGCGAGGUUAAGUAUUAGAGGUAUGUAGCCGUAGCGAAAGCGAGUCCGAAGAGGGCGUAUAAGUUUAUGGUAUUAGACCCGAAACCAGGUGAUCUACCUAUGGUCAGGUUGAAAGUUGGGUAAAACCAACUGGAGGACCGCACCAACCGUCGUUGAAAAGGCGGUGGAGGAACUGUGGGUAGGGGUGAAAGGCCAAACAAACCUGGAGAUAGCUGGUUCUCUCCGAAACAUAUUUAGGUAUGGCCUCAGUGGAGAUUAUUGGAGGUAGAGCACUGAAUGGGCUAGGGGGCUUACACGCUUACUGAACCCAAUCAAACUCCGAAUGCCAAUAAUUGCUCACUGGGAGACAGGGCGCGGGCGAUAAGGUUCGCGUGCGAGAGGGGAACAACCCAGACUGUCAGCUAAGGCCCCGAAAUAGAUACUUAGUGCGUAAGGAUGUUCAAUUGCCCAGACAGCCAGGAUCUUGGCUUAGAAGCAGCCAUGAUUUAAAGAGUGCGUAACAGCUCACUGGUCGAGUGGUAGGGCACCGAAGAUAAUCGGGACUGAAGUAUCUUGCCGAAGCUGCGGACUUGCAUAUAGAUGUGAGUGGUAGGAGAGCAUUGUGAUUGCGCAGAAGGUGUAUUGUGAGAUAUGCUGGAGCGGUCACAAGAGACCAUGUUGGCAUGAGUAACGAUAAUGCGGGUGAGAAACCCGCACACCAUAAGCCCAAGGAUUCCUGAGUAAAGUUAAUCUUCUCAGGGUUAGUCGGUCCCUAAGGUAUAGCGAUAAGGCGAAGCUGAUGGGAAUCAGGUUAAUAAUCCUGAACCUGAGUAUUGAGUGAGGGAGUGACGCGACGGUGCUGCAAGGACAGCUGUUGGAAUAGCUGUUGAAUGCAGGUAGGAAGUGAGACAGGUAAAUCCGUUUCACAGAUAUUCCGAGAUGCAGGACGAGGCGUAAGCCGUAAAGCUUGUUUAGAGACGUUGCCGAGAAAUAGCUUCUAGCGUUAAUCAAUAUUCAGACCGUACCGCAAACCGACACAGGUGGGCGAGGAGAGUAUCCUAAGGUGUUCGAGUGAACUCUGGUUAAGGAACUAGGCAAAAUUACCCCGUAACUUCGGGAGAAGGGGUGCCCCGUUAUCGUGAUUAGUCAGCGCUAUGAGCGAGAGGGGGCCGCAGUGAAUAGGCCCAAGCGACUGUUUAUCAAAAACACAGGUCUAUGCGAAGGCGAAAGCCACGGUAUAUAGACUGACACCUGCCCGGUGCCGGAAGGUUAAGUGGAGAGGUUAGCCUGCACUAAUUUUAUCAUAGUGAAGGGUGACAAGUGACCAGUGAAUUGUGAAGAAUGUAAAAUUGACAAUGUAUAAUGAAUGCGAGAGAUGGUGAAAUUAGUGCAGGCGAAGCUUCGAAAUGAAGCCCCGGUAAACGGCGGCCGUAACUAUAACGGUCCUAAGGUAGCGAAAUUCCUUGUCGGGUAAGUUCCGACCUGCACGAAUGGUGUAACGAU